CAGAGGCACCAAAACAAUUGUUUUUUAAAGAAUUUGGUUGCUAUUUCCAAGAAAACAUUUCAAAAAAUUUAAUUGUAGGAAAAAAUGAGAAUUGAAUUGUACUUCCUAACACUUGCCUUAUAGCUUCAUACUGCUUUAAUUUUAAAUUACAUAUGAAGGGACACAAGAGGUAUUAUAGAGCCUAUUCUGCUCUGUGGUACCUAUUCCAAGACCAAACUACCUAGGACUUGAAGGAAGUCAGAGCAACAAAUGGUGCUCCUGAGCAAAGGUGAUUUCCUUCUGAAUGAACUCAGAAGGGACUAGACAGGGCUAGGGUCAUCAAGAGGACCUUAGGCAUCACCUAACCCAUCUCACAUUUCGCAUUAAGUUUCCUUACUUAUGAUUGGUAAGGUCAGGUGACUUGCUCAUGAUAAUACAGUUAGGCUAAUGUCAAAGCCAAGAAUUAAAACCUGGUCAGACUCUGGAAUAACAUCGUUCCAAUAAUAGCACAUGUGGCUCAGCAACAGUCCAGACUCUCCUUCCUCACCUCUACACACAGAUAGCAGACUCAUCUCAUGCUGGAAUUUGCAAACUGCUUUUGAAUAACCAGUAUGCAUGAUCCUAUCAUCCUCAGCUUACAGAGCAUGGUAGUGUGGUUUCCUUCUCGUUACAGGGUGUCAGGGUGGAGGGGGGUGGCAGAGGACUUCACCACAGACCACACAGUGAGGCAGGGACUGAGACAACUCCCCAGCUCCCAGCUCCCUGAUUUUUCUUUCUGUUUCUGAGUCAACUGAGCUGGUCAGCCUCCCAUGCUGUAAACACCACACAGAGCAGGAAAACAAUGAAGCUGCUUAUUUAGAAAAGACCUACUUCCCUGCUGAGUGUCACUACAUGUCUCUUUUUAUGCACUUGAACAGUCUGUUCCUGCGGUUGACUGCUAGGAAGACAGACAAGAGGAUGACUGUGAAAUGGCCUACUUACAGGGUCUUGGUCCACAUAUUUAUUGACAAAAUAAGCCCACCAAAGUCUCAGCUGUUCAACUCAUCUUUGAUUUGAGGGAAAGCCAUGUCUGUCUUAAGCAUGACAUUCCCGAGAGAGAGCUUCCAAGUCAUCCUCAGAUGUCCAUCAAGUUUAAGGAAAAGGCAUAAAAAUACUGCAGGCUAAUAAGAAGUGAAAGAGGCAUACACAAUGUGCAAAUAAAGCAGAAAAUGAUACAGACAUCUAGAAUAAGGAAGAAGACCAGAUCUUUGUGCAGUAGGGACCCUAAGCUUUGAAGAACUCUAGUGAUAGCAGGUCAGAAGAAAAUUCCUGAGAUUGGGAGCUUGCACCUUUCUGAAGAAACAGACAUGCAACAGGAUGUAAGGAGAAAGGAGUAGAGACGAGACAGGAAAUGGAAUCAAGAAGAAAGACAAAGGCAGUGGGAAAGAACCAGGCAUUUGCAAUAAUAUAGAUAAUUUGGGUGACUGAACUAGUAAAAACCUGUUUUUCUGUGUGAGAAGUCUGUGUUAAAUGUAUAGAGGCAGCUAAUAUAUUAGAGCAGUA